rnacentral:lncRNA from 1 species
AUGAUCCGAAACGACUUAUCCACUUUCCAACAAUAUUAGAAGUGGUGCUUGAGUUCGCUGUGCAGAGGUACGACCACGCCUUCGCUGAAUUGAAUCACCUAGUUGCUUGUGUAGCACCUACUAAUUUAGCCAUCCAAGUAAUGUGUAUCUUCAGAUGUCUGAAACUAAAGAAAACACAUUAUCAAUAUUCCCCAAAACAAAUCUCUAGGCUGUACGUCCCAGAUUUCAGUAGUACAACACAACAUAAAAAUCCUCAAAAGCAAAAAACCUACUCUCUUCUUGCUCCUUCCAUUACCUGCGACCAGCCUGCAAUAGUUCCUCUUCUCCACAACUUCAUCAACAAUAGAGGCUGUCCAAUUAGAUACAAACUUUCUUUGAUGUACCGCCUUGUCCACUGCAUUGGAUUUCAGUUUUCGUUGGGCAUAGAAUGCGAGAUUGGAAGGAUGUUCUGGUGCAGUGGAUAUUAAAAGGUUCCAGAGCAGGGAUCAGGGAGAGGAUUCCUAUUCGCAAAAAAAAGAGGCUUCCUAGAUCGUUUUACACGGAGGACACGUGAAUAGUGGAAAACAAUUAGGACGAGCACCGGAGGAGGACGAACGGGGCUACAGAUGUGGAUAAUGCAUUGGUACCACGAGGGGCUACGGAUGUGGAACGAGGGAUGUGGUUGCCUGUGCUUGUUCAUGGCCGUACCUUGGAUUCACCGUUGGUCGCAGGGGAGCGGUGACGAGGGGUGGCGCACCGGGAUGCAGGGUUGCAGGGGUGGUGACGAGGGGUGGCGCGCUAGGACGGAGGGUCACAGGGCAGCAGUGAGGAGCGGCGCCGGGAGAGAGGAUCGCAGGCGAGUGGUGAGGGGCGGCAUGCAGGGAUGCAGGUAGGUCGCAGCCGCGCAAAGGAGUGGCAACGACUGACGAGCGGCGGCGGCCGAGGUGGGAGGGCUCGAGAGGAGUAGGGGAGGCGGAGGAAAGGGAACGACCUAGG